GCUUGUCUCAAAGAUUAAGCCAUGCAUGUCUAAGUAUAAGCCUUUACACGGUGAGACUGCGAAUGGCUCAUUAAAUCAGAAACUGUUUAUUUGAUAGUGCCUACUACUUGGAUAACCGUAGUAAUUCUAGAGCUAAUACAUGCAAAAAGCCUGGACUUCUGGAACAGGCGUAUUUAUUAGAUAUACAAACCAACCGCUUCGGCGACCUUGGGUGACUCAUAAUAACUUUGGGCUGAUCGUAUGGCCUUGUGCCGACGACGUUUCCUUCGAAGGUGUGCCCUAUCAACUGUCGACUGUGAUAUAGACGCUCACAGUGGUUUUGACGGGUAACGGGGAAUCAGGGUUCGAUUCCGGAGAGGGAGCCUUAAAAACGGCUACCACAUCCAAGGAAGGCAGCAGG
rnacentral:rRNA from 1 species